GAUGAACGCUAGCGGCAGGCUUAACACAUGCAAGUCGAGGGGUAUAGUUCUUCGGAGCUAGAGACCGGCGCACGGGUGCGUAACGCGUAUGCAAUCUACCUUUUGCAGAGGGAUAGCCCAGAGAAAUUUGGAUUAAUACCUCAUGGUAUGUGAGAAUCGCAUCAUUUUCACAUUAAAGUCACAACGGCAAAAGAUCAACAUGCGUCCCAUUAGCUAGUUGGUAAGGUAACGGCUUACCAAGGCAACGAUGGGUAGGGGUCCUGAGAGGGAGAUCCGCGACAACGGUACUGAGACACGGACCAGGCUCCUACGGGAGGCAGCAGUGAGGAAUAUUGGACAAUGGGCGCGAGCUGUAUCCAGCCAUGCCGCGUGCAGGAUGACGGUCCUAUGGAUUGUAAACUGCUUUUGUACAGGAAGAAACACUGGUUCGUGAACCAGCUUGACGGUACUGUAAGAAUAAGGAUCGGCUAACUCCGUGCCAGCCGCCGCCGUAACAC
rnacentral:rRNA from 1 species